rnacentral:rRNA from 1 species
UACGUAGGGGGCAAGCGUUGUCCGGAUUCAUUGGGCGUAAAGAGCGUGUAGGCGGCCAGGUAGGUCGGUUGUGAAAACUGGAGGCUCAACCUUCAGAGGUCGACCGAAACCAUCUGGCUAGAGUCCGGAAGAGGAGAGUGGAAUUCCUGGUGUAGCGGUGAAAUGCGCAGAUAUCAGGAAGAACACCCGUGGCGAAGGCGGCUCUCUGGGGACGGUACUGACGCUGAGACGCGAAAAGCGUGGGGAGCGAACAGG